GGGUUGUGAGGUUAAGCGACUAAGCGUACACGGUGGAUGCCCUGGCAGUCAGAGGCGAUGAAGGACGUGCUAAUCUGCGAUAAGCGCCGGUAAGGUGAUAUGAACCGUUAUAACCGGCGAUUUCCGAAUGGGGAAACCCAGUGUGACUCGUCACACUAUCAUUAACUGAAUCCAUAGGUUAAUGAGGCGAACCGGGGGAACUGAAACAUCUAAGUACCCCGAGGAAAAGAAAUCAACCGAGAUUCCCCCAGUAGCGGCGAGCGAACGGGGAGGAGCCCAGAGCCUGAAUCAGCAUGUGUGUUAGUGGAAGCGUCUGGAAAGGCGCGCGAUACAGGGUGACAGCCCCGUACACAAAAGCGCAUGUGCUGUGAGCUCGAUGAGUAGGGCGGGACACGUGGUAUCCUGUCUGAAUAUGGGGGGACCAUCCUCCAAGGCUAAAUACUCCUGACUGACCGAUAGUGAACCAGUACCGUGAGGGAAAGGCGAAAAGAACCCCGGCGAGGGGAGUGAAAAAGAACCUGAAACCGUGUACGUACAAGCAGUGGGAGCACCCUUUGGGGUGUGACUGCGUACCUUUUGUAUAAUGGGUCAGCGACUUAUAUUCUGUAGCAAGGUUAACCGUAUAGGGGAGCCGGAGGGAAACCGAGUCUUAAU
rnacentral:rRNA from 1 species